UCAUCUACCACUCUGAGUUAGCAAAAGGUUCUUAUAAGGAUAAUACUGCAGCUCUUGCAAGGAACACCAUGCUUCGUGAAAGCAAUGUCUUGAAAUUUGUCAAAGAUUCCAGUGUCAUGAGGCCUGGAUAUUAUAUAGGGAUAGAUCCUUGUAAAAAACUUGUGAUUUUAGGAAUCCGUGGUACUCAUACUGUAUAUGACCUUAUAACUGAUGUUGUUUCUUCUAGCGAUGGUGAAGUCACAUUUGAGGGUUAUUCAACCCACUUUGGCACUACAGAAGCUGCUCGCUGGUUUCUUAGUCACGAGAUGGGAAAUAUAAGGAAGUGCUUAGAGAAAUGUGAGGUGGGGAAUCUUUUUACCCUCACUUUUCUUUGUUAUUGUUUUUUUUUGAGUGGUGUAAUCUUGUUCGAGGAUUUUGUGUUUUUUUUUUUUCUCCCGACCAGAUUUUUUGUCAUUGUUGGUUGUAGUUGAGCCCAAUUCAUUAACAGGGAUUUAAGUUAAGGCUAGUUGGUCAUUCUCUCGGAGGUGCUACAGCUGCUUUACUUGCAAUAAUGCUCCACAAAAAGUCAGCUUAGGAGCUGGGGUUCAAUCCACAGAUUGUCUCUGCCGUGGGUUAUGCAACGCCACCUUGUGUCUCCAGAGAACUUGCUGAAAGCUGCUCCAGUUAUGUCACAACUGUUGUGAUGCAGGAUGUUAUGAUACCUAGGCUAAGUCCAGCAUUCUAACGAGGUUGAGGAGUGAAAUUCUUCAAACCGAUUGGAAGAGUGAUUGAGAAGGAAGACUGGAGAAGUGUCAUAGAUUUGGUUACAAAUGCAAAGCAGGUUGUGUCUUCCGUGCAAGAUGUUGCUCGGAAGCUUUCUGAUUACGCAAAGUUUGGGAGCAGUAAAAAUUCUUCUGGUGGUCCCAUCAUAAAGAAAACUCCUACUGCUCUCGGGGUCCCUUUAAAUGACAGAGAAGUAACAGAUAACACUGUUGCUAUUAAAAGUGGAGGAGCUGCCUGUAAAGUGCCUGAGGAGUUAUUUGUACCAGGUACCGUUUACUACCUAAAGAGGAAUGUGGACGCACAUGCUGGCAGCAACAACGGCAGAAGAAGGGAGUAUUUUAUGCUUUGGAAGAGGCAUCCGGGUGAGCAUUUUCAGAGGAUUGUGCUUUCAAGCAACAUAAUAACAGACCACAAGUGUGUGAGCCAUUACUAUGCGUUAAGAGAUGUGCUCAAAGAUUUUCCCGCCUCCGAUACAACAACAACAAAGCAUUUUCCCACUAAGUGGGGUCGGCUAUAUGAAUCCUAGAACGACAUUGCGCUCGGUU